ensembl:lncRNA
AACACAGUAGUAGGACAGUCAGUAGGAAAGAUUGGAUGGUGGCUUGUCUGUCCAUUCCACAGACCAGGAAAUAUUAGCCAGGAGGGACCAACAGUAUGUGGGUUCCAUGGUGUAAUGGUGAGCACUCUGGACUCUGAAUCCAGCGAUCCGAGUUCAAGUCUCGGUGGGACCUUUAUAUUUACGGAAAGUUGCUUUAAUUUAAACUAGGAAAUCCUGGGGUCUUGAAUGAGGGAAGCCAGAGAGGAGGAAGUUGCCCCCACACAAGCUCAUCCAGGUCCUUACCCCUCCCCCCCCCAGCUUGUGAAUUGUAGCAGGAAAUAAGGCCAUAGCUGCUGCCUGGGAGCAAGUUUUGCUUUUCCGUUGUGCUGGAAGAAGACCUGAGUGCCUGCCGACCAGCCGUCCUCUGGGCCGGUCCUCUGAAGCGCCUUUGCUUUGGAAGCCUUCUUACUUGGCCAAGGCUCAGGGAGUUGUUCAGAGGUGACCGUGGAGUAUACUACUUGUUGCCUCCGUUGGCAUGGCCUAGGGGGAACCCACAAACUCCCAAGUUCCCUCUGCAGGCAGGCCUGAUUGUCUUGUUGGAGAACGAGAGAACCAAAAAGCAAGCAAACAAACAAACAAAAAAACCAGUUAUCAGAGAUGAGAUAAAUACCAAACAACAUCCACAACAUGCACUUGUGGACGAGGGCAUUUUUUAGGGAACGUGAUCAAGUGUUCAGGGGACUGCUGUUUUUGUGAGAUUUGGACACAUAAGAGGAAAAAGAAGUAUAGCAAAUAUAAACUCAUUUCUUUGUAUAGAUGUAAGCAUUUGAAAUUAAUCUUCGAAGUCACUUAUAUCACCAUUUGGAUUCCGGGGCUUGCAUCUCAGGUGUGAUGGGUUUGGAACAUGCUGGCCCUAAAUAUGGCCCUUUAGGAAUUAAUCACUCCUCCUGAAUCACUUCACCUUCUUCUCACUCCAAGCAGGCACUAAGACUCGCGGGAGAGGUGCUGUUAUGUAGCUGUUUUGGGGGAGGUUAGAACCUGUAUUGGCGGGACUCUCAUUAAGAGACAGGAUUUAAAGGGGAAGUGAAACAACAGGUGUUCUAAGGGAAAGUUAAGACAGGAUAUUGGGAAUAAGUUCAAGAGUAACCAACUCAGUAGCUUCAGGAAGUCAUUGAAACUGACCAGAUUAACUAGGGCUCUCCCUCCACAAGAGCACACACUGUUGUGCCCAAGUCACAAGGAUCCUCAAAGAGACGUGGGAGACAGACAACUGAUGCAAAUGCACAAGGUUUAUGCUAUGGCAGGAGGCACCCCCAUCUAGCAAGCUGACUGAAGUAGCCUCCAGAGGGGUGAAGUUCCCUGUCUACUGCUAGGUUUUAAAGACAAAAAAGUUACAGGAUUACAGGUUGGUUUCUGAUUGGUUGACAUUUGGGGAACAAUCAAGAAAUUUUUCUUUUCGGUUUUUGAAACAGGGUUUCUCUGUAGCUUUGGAGGCUAUCCUGGAACUCGCUCUGUAGACCAGGCUGGCCUCAAACUCAGAGAUCCGCUUGUCUCUGCGUCCUGAGUGCUGCCCCCCCCCCAAGAAAUUUUUCAGUUGUGUUUCUGGCGUGUAAUACCUGUGUGCCCAUUUUUCUCAUACGUUGGUGCUGAGAGGAAACAUUUUAUGGUUCCUAUGGCUUGCAGAUGGCCUUACUGUACCAAUGUUUUUCAGAACUGAAUUUCCUGGAGACUACAGGGGAAUUUCUUUUGCGGUCAAAGGGUCCCCAGGAUCCAAGUAUCAGGUCACUGUGGACCAGAAAAAAAGGAGCCAUGGGAGUGUGAUUCGAGAACAAAACGGACCACAUAGUUUUGGGCAACUGAAUUUGCGGCCUCAGCGCCACAAUUUAUGCACUCGGAGAAGGAAGGGCUCUCUCGGUUUUUCUGUAUCACUCGGGGACAACACGCAGACCAGGAGCCGCCCUGGUCUGGUAACCGAAAACGGGUCCCAGACGUGUUAGCCACAUUUAAAACCCAGGUUUCUGGAGAGCUCGGUUGGGGAAGAAACCGUUGCUUUUUCGAUAACGAUAAAUUAUUGGUCGGCGCAAAAACGCUAAAAAUAAAUGAGCCAUCAGGAUCCAGGAAAAAAGAAGAAACCUGAAAGCACUGUAGCACAACGAUAUACAUAGUCUUAUUUUGUAACAAGAUUACCAGGGGAGAGCGCGAACGCAGUCCCCCACUACCACAAAUUAUGCAGUCGAGUUUCCCGCAUUUGGGGAAAUCGCAGGGGUCAGCACACCCCAAGUGCAAUGGGUGGGCCUCGCCCUGGGAAAACCACCUGCUUGAUCAUGGUAUCUCCCCUGCCAGUCGAGUUUCCCGCAUUUGGGGAAAUCGCAGGGGUCAGCACACCCCAAGUGCAAUGGGUGGGCCUCGCCCUGGGAAAACCACCUGCUUGAUCAUGGUAUCUCCCCUG